AGGCAAGGGUAGGCUCGGUCUUGGAGGAGGCUGGUGUGAGGCGAGGCGGGCGAGGCAGGAGGAAGGGCUGCUGGAGAGACUGGGAGAAGAAAAGCCGAAAUGGAUUCUCCGUGCCUUGGAUGGAGGGCGAGGGGGGAAGCACGAGCUCCUUCAGCUGGUUCUGUCCGGUGAGAAGUAGUCAAGCUCGGGUUGACAAGAGGCUCUUGGAACCCUCACGUUCUUUGCUUUUUUACCUGCCAAUCAAACUGCUACAAGACAACACCCUGAUCCGGCAUGGUCGC
rnacentral:lncRNA from 1 species